GCUGCUUGUUUGGAGGGUGUGCUGUAUAGCUGGAGAUCUCCUUUAGUCUUCUUCACCAGCUGGGUGUCAUAUCUAUGAAGACUUCAGAAAAGAAAUACAUGAGCAAAGUUACUACAAUUCAUGUGGGUAGGAGAGAGAAGUGAUUUGCAGCGGAUUACACUGAAAACACUCCAGGUCUCAUUGAGCUCUGAGGUCACAGUUAUUUACCUGAUAAGCAGGUCAUUCAGCAGAACAGCCACGAUACCUCAGAAGUCAUGGACAUGAAAAAGCACUUACUGUACAGUGAAAAUAAGGUCUUGUGAUAAUGCAAUUUUGUGUUGCAAUAUUUGUGAUGUGAUGGUGUAAUUGGGAUGGUGUAUUUUGAAUCCAGUCCUUCAAUUAAUAGCUCAGAAGUUUCAUAUCUACAACACUGCCUCUUCAAGGACUGCAGAGAAGGAAGAGAAAAACUGAUCUUCCUAAUGACAAGGAUUUUUUUGAAAGUGUCAAGGAAGUGUCAAGGAUGUGUCAAGGGCCACAGCUUCGUGCCCCGGCUGCAGCCGGCCAUUGGGGUGGCCUGCGUCUGUGAAGGAUGGAGUGCCCAGGAAGACAACGUCAUCUACCGCCUGCUCGUGCCCAUGAGACCUCCCCCCGGGCAGACCUUCAAUGUGGAGCUUGGCAUAAGGCAGAUGGUUGUGUCAGCAUCAGGGAAGGGAGAUCUGGUACCUCAACAAGCAGGGAGAAAAUAUGAUCAAACAGCUUGUGGGUUGAGACAGGGACAGGGAGAUCUCUCACCAGCUACCAUCCCAGCUUUUGGAAGACGAAGUCAGUUUAUUGCCAGUUAAUGACAGGGUUGAACAGU
ensembl:lncRNA